UCUUAAGCUAUUUAUACAGGGUAUAGAAUCAUAAAUAUGCAAAGAGGCAGCCAGAUAACAAAGUGGUAACACGUUGGCAUGCCAAGCAGGAGGACCUGGAUUCAUAUUCUGGGUCCGGCAUCUCCUGAAAAAUUUUUUCAGGAUUCUGAGCCCAAUGAUCUCUGUUCUUCACCUUCCAUCCUCUCCACAAGUGUGGAUGCAGCCUAUGGUUGGAACUAUAUCUGCCUCUUAGUAAUCUCUCUGAUUGAAAAGGGACAUAAAAAUUCAAAAAAAAAAAUAUGCAAAGAACAAACAUCACAA
rnacentral:lncRNA from 1 species